rnacentral:rRNA from 1 species
GACGAACGCUGGCGGCGUGCUUAACACAUGCAAGUCGAGCGGUAAGGCCCUUUCGGGGGUACACGAGCGGCGAACGGGUGAGUAACACGUGGGUGACCUGCCCUCAGCUCUGGGAUAAGCCUGGGAAACUGGGUCUAAUACUGGAUAUGACUCCACGGUGCAUGUCGUGGGGUGGAAAGCCUUGUGCGGCUGAGGAUGGGCCCGCGGCCUAUCAGCUUGUUGGUGGGGUGANGGCCUACCAAGGCGACGACGGGUAGCCGGCCUGAGAGGGCGACCGGCCACACUGGGACUGAGACACGGCCCAGACUCCGUACGGGAGGCAGCAGUGGGGAAUCUUGCGCAAGUGGGCGAAAGCCUGACGCAGCGACGCCGCGUGAGGGAUGACGG